CAAUUUCAGAUUCAGGGCGCGGAUGCAGCAUAAAUGGGAAGGCACGGUUUGAGAAACGGUCAAACCUAGGACCAGUGGAGGAUAGUGAGCUGCCGACUACGGUGGCCGACUGGGUCAGCUAUGGGUGCCCGUGAGGGUCAAUGACAAGGGUACUGAAGGGUUAAGAGAUUCGGCGUCUGAGCCUCGCGGGGCCUCAGUGGUGGCGGGCAGAGGUUUGCGGGAGUCAGUGGCACGGUCUCUGAAGAAGAUGCAUUGGGAGUGUGUGGGAAUCAAUAAAUGCGAGUUCUGUGAAAUGUCUUGAUUUUCAGGGUGCAUGGGGUUCUUUCUGGCAAAGGUAAUGACAUACGCAUCUGUGACAGCAUCCCAAGAGUGAGCCUGGUUUCUGGAAAUCCAUUCUGACUCUGUGACAGCGGGGAUGGAUGUGACCUUGCCCGUGGUUAGAAAACAAAUUUACUGAGUAAGUAUCUAAAAUGAUAAUGUAGGCUGU
rnacentral:lncRNA from 1 species